rnacentral:rRNA from 1 species
GUCGAACGCUUCUUUUUCACCGGAGCUUGCUCCACCGGAAAAAGAGGAGUGGCGAACGGGUGAGUAACACGUGGGUAACCUGCCCAUCAGAAGGGGAUAACACUUGGAAACAGGUGCUAAUACCGUAUAACAAUCAAAACCGCAUGGUUUUGAUUUGAAAGGCGCUUUCGGGUGUCGCUGAUGGAUGGACCCGCGGUGCAUUAGCUAGUUGGUGAGGUAACGGCUCACCAAGGCCACGAUGCAUAGCCGACCUGAGAGGGUGAUCGGCCACAUUGGGACUGAGACACGGCCCAAACUCCUACGGGAGGCAGCAGUAGGGAAUCUUCGGCAAUGGACGAAAGUCUGACCGAGCAACGCCGCGUGAGUGAAGAAGGUUUUCGGAUCGUAAAACUCUGUUGUUAGAGAAGAACAAGGAUGAGAGUAACUGUUCAUCCCUUGACGGUAUCUAACCAGAAAGCCACGGCUAACUACGUGCCAGCAGCCGCGGUAAUACGUAGGUGGCAAGCGUUGUCCGGAUUUAUUGGGCGUAAAGCGAGCGCAGGCGGUUUCUUAAGUCUGAUGUGAAAGCCCCCGGCUCAACCGGGGAGGGUCAUUGGAAACUGGGAGACUUGAGUGCAGAAGAGGAGAGUGGAAUUCCAUGUGUAGCGGUGAAAUGCGUAGAUAUAUGGAGGAACACCAGUGGCGAAGGCGGCUCUCU